GCUCUUCUCUUUAUAUAAGUUUAGUUUAAACUUGUAGUGCAAGAGCAUCAACAGCAGCAUAAGAAGUAGCUAAGAGAGUAAAAUUAAGAAGCAGUAUAUUUAGCUUAUUAAUUCUUGGAGCUAACACAGAUAUAUUUAUAUUUGAUUUGGUUUAUUACUAAUAUGAUACAUUCAUCAACCCUCUGCUCCCUUGCUAUUGCCUUAGUUUUGAUUUUCCAUUUGUUGUUUCUUGUUCAUGCUGACCAAAUUGUCACUAAUGAUCUGAUUGUUGAUUCCUCUGGGGAUUCAAUGAAAGUGGAAAAAGGUGGAUGUGGGAAAGAGAGAGGUGAUUGCAAACAAAGGAAUGGUAAUGGAGAAGGAGAAGAGAGUAUGUUUGAGAAUGAAGACUAUAUCUAUACACAGUCUACUCUUCCUUAGGUGAAUCUUCUCUUUUAUUUUAUUUUUCUUCCUUUUUUUUCACUUUGUAACAUAGAUUUUGAUCAAUUCAUAGAUAUUUCAACUUUUGAUUAUUAAUAAGAUUGUUUUAUCUUUUUGUGAUUC